AACACCAAGAAAACAGAUUUUUUUUUUUUUUCUUUAAAAACAAAUUCACAAAAUCUUUCUGCAUUGUCCUUUGGGCAUUUUUCAGAAGUCAAAACAGUGUGUUAAUUCUGUUAAUUAAGCUCAACCAGACAGCAGUGACAUCUACAGUACAGGCAGCAAGGAGCUCAGUGUUUUAAGAACUCCCAGGCUCCAGGGAGUAUUUUAUGUCAUGAUCAGGAAUAGGCAGCACUCUCUGCAAAGUGAGAAAGAGUGACACUCUUAUUGUGUCAGAUGGAAGUUAUCAUUACAGCAAGAACUCCCUGAGUCUUCACUGGGCACCGCUCCCCUCCCGGAUCUAUUGCACUCCGGUGGUGAAAUCCUGUGUGCCCCAGCCACAGAAACACCAUGCACACAAACACACACCUGCAAACACGUAACACCUUAGAGACAGAGUCAGAGGAAGAGGUUUUCUAGAAAUAAAUCUGAGCAAAAAGACCUCCAAUUCUGCACUUUCUUUUCUGUUGCAAAUGCUACGGGAUGAGAAAGUAGAGCCGAGCAGACUGGGAAUGGAUACAAAAUACCAGAGUCUCAGUUAUGAUUUUUAUUCUAAAGGCAUAAAAACGCUGUUAAAAUGCUGUUCUUUGAGAAAGUUCAGUUUCACUGGACAUCACUGUAAAAAAACAGGCUUGAGUGCUUUUCUGUUUCUGUGAUUUUUCAGCAGUCCAGUUUGGAUUUGGUAAGGAGCAGUUUACCUUCAUUAUUAGUUUUAGUACAGUGUGGUAAACAUAGCAUUGUAGAAUGGCUGCAUUAAAUAAAACACAACAUGUAAAUCCAAGAUAUCUGUUUCUGCAUCAGAAAGCUUCCUGCUAAAAGUUCAUUUGCCUUGGAUGGUUUGAGGGCAGGUCUGCUUAAUAUAGAAAUCUCUCUUAAUACCGUUUAUGCAAAUCCUACAGUCUUUAACUGGAAAGGAAAUUCUUUUUGCUAAUAACUGAAGCAGGCCAUGUUGAGUUCAGCGGGGCUCGUGUCUGCCUUAAUCUAGGGAAUGGGUAGUUUUUAAACAACACAGUCUAGAGUGAGAAAUGAGGGGAACUCUGCGGCACUGCAUUUGUAGCUCUUGUCCCUCCUAGGGCAGGAAGCUGCAGGAGUCGUCCUGUCGUGAGUCUUAGUUUUCCUACAAAAACACUGAGUGGUCACGAACUUUCCCCAGUUCCUUACGCUGGGAGCUCCCUUACAGAGGGAGAAAAAAAAAAAAAAAGAAGAAAAAAAGCAACUGUAAAACAAAAGAAAAAAGGUCCUUGUUUCCCCCAUCUAAAAAUCAGCAGCAGCUAUGGGACAAAAAUUUUUAAAAAGCUACUCAGGAUCCUUCUUGUCUUCAGAGACCUGGAUCUUGAGCCAGAUUCCAGACUCAGGAGGUUUGGGCUACUCAUUGCCUGUAGCUUCUCUUCUGUGCACUAAAAAUGCAUACACGUAGUAGCAACUGCCUGGAAAUCACGGCAGAGAAAGAAUGUAUUUUUCCCUUCCGAGGAAUCAUUUGAAACAGUACUGAUGAGCUUGUAAAAUAGCUGGUAUUUUUGUUGCAAAACUCCGAAGAGAUCACAUUUCUAAAUUAUUGUCUACUUAAAUAAAAACAUGUAGUGUAUUCAUAGGCAAAUAUGUUCAAUGGAAUACAUAUGCUAACGCCUAUAGGGCCAUUUAUUUUUAAAGGACUGUCUAAAUUCAGCCCCAAUAUAUUGCAGUUAAUUUCCUUCCAUUGGUGAUAAUAUUAUACCAAGAAAGUCAGUAGAAUUACAUAAAUUGUCAUAAUUUGUAUCUAGCUGUAUAACUACUGUGAUUUCAAAGAGGGGUCAAAACUUUGAUCAUCGUCUAAUUUACAGAUUCAGGACUGCACUUUUAGAAGAAAUGCAAGGAAGAGUGAACAUGGGAAAGGUCUGCAGGCAGUUGUUUGGAAGCAGAGAUAUGUCUGAUUCAGGGUAAAAAAAAAAAGGGGGGGGGAAGUAUUUUCUAGUUAAAGUUAGGCUGGAGUAAGUUAGCAGUGACUGGACACCUUAGUCUUUUGCACUGGUAUGUAAACUAUAUUUGAACUUUAUCUCUUGUAAAACGCGAAGAGAAAAAGGCCCUUUGCGAUCUGAAGGGGACAGGCCAGGGAAGUUUCGCUUUCAUCUUGCACUGGAGCUUUGGGUGGUGUUAAUGGAGAGAAGUGGAAAUUACGGAGGGAGAAAUACCUAUCUCUGGAAAGUCCCCAUGUGUCAUCCAUGGGGGUUUGCCUGACUUGAGGGAGCAGGGUCGAGCCUGAGCCCCUCGGGAGCCUGAGGCCUGCUUUUCUCCGAGGAAAAGGACACCCGCGGCUCGUACGGAGGGGCCCGGAGCGCUGCCCGAGACGGCGGGGAAGGGGCCGGGGUGCUGAUUUACCGUGCGCCUGGCUGUAGGAGACCCUGGCCCGGGCAUGGGCGGAAUUGGCGUAGUAAGGGUUGCCCUGGGAGUCCAGGUGGUUGAAGAAGACGUCGACUUCAUCCGGAGCCUGAGCACCCCAAAGCAAAAGGAGGAUAAAGAGGGGAACUUUGCACAUACAAAAACAGAAGAAAAAAAAAAAAGGCGAAGGGGUGAAAGAGUCGGCGGAGAGGAGCGGCCGUGCCCCGAUGUGCCUGGCCUUUCGGGCUAUGCACCUGCACGUAAGUGAGGCAGCAGCGAAGCUGGAAGAGGCACGAGCAGAUAUUACGCCACGAGUCGUUGUUAUAGCUAGGAAAGAGACGGAAGAGGAGACGCUGUCGGCAGCCGCGCCCUGGGAUCGCCCGGCACGGAACGACUCCGAAACGAGGAACUGUCGCUCAGGCGGAAAAACUACGGGAAAAGUGGGGUUUGAAGGCUGCAGAUUUUUCCCCAAGCGGGGUCACACGGGGGUGUGCGGGCCGGGGGCUCAGGGGGCUGGGACCGGAGCAGUGCCCAGCCGAGCCUCGCCGCGCUGUGCCUGCCCUCCAGCCGCGCUGUCCCGGGACAGAGCGGGUCACCCCUCCACGUGCCACCAGAGACACUGGGGGCCGGACGGGCAGGGAGUCAGGAUUUUCCCCUCAUGCCCGCUGGAAGAGAAGGAUGUUUUUCUUUCCUGUUAAGCUUUCGUACUAAAGAUGUCAUCUGAAAGUCUGGGAGGAAGGGGGACCGUGCUCUGCUCUCUUUCACGGUAACAACCAUAUCAUAUUGAAAAAUAUGAUAGACAGUGGGGGAAGAUUUCCUCCCCCAUUAAAAAAAAAGAAAAAAAAUGAAAAAAAAACCCCAACCUUUUCAAUAUUGAUUCAAAAAAAAAAAAAAAAGAAAAAAAAAAAAGAGAAUUUUAAAAGAGAAGAAGCAGCACCAGCAGCAAGGAGAAUAUAGGCUCAGCAGCUCUCCAGGUUAGCUUCCUUAUUAUUACUAUCCAGGGGUAAUUUUUCAUCUCUGCUAGCUAAUCUUUGUUCCUUGUGAAGAUAAUGAAUAGCCCAAUCCUUAUCUCCUGGGCUCCUGGAGGCUGCUGGAGAAUGGGGUUGAACAGGGUUGAAAAUUGGUUCCAAAGUGCUGCUGAAUAAAUGGUGUUCCUUAUCUCUCGCUUCCAGAUUAUCGGAACCCUUUCAAAACUCACACAACAAAUACAGCCACCGCAUCUAAUGCAUCAUUUACCAGAGCAGAUCUCCGCGUUUGAUCGGCAGAUAGGCAAAAUCUAUGUAUUCCUCGCUUUACUUAGUAUGCAUGGAUGCGGGGCUGCUGUGCACGAGGGUUGCCCCCAGCCGGGCCUGGGACACCCCCGGGGCUCUUGGCACACGCGGGUCUUCGCUGUGGAUUCCGUGGAGUGACAAGAGUGUCCCCUGCCCAUCCGCGAUCCAGGGGAGCAGGGUGGGACGGCAGCUCACCGUGCAGGGUGCUGCCACACAGCAUGCCUGGAAAUUUGGGGAUGCUCUGCUGAGGUACCGGUGGAUUGGCAGGGAAGGGAGAAGAGUUGUGAACAUCAUCCUGGGCACCUCAGGCACCUGCUCGCACCGACACUCACUCCUGCACCCACAGCCUCCUUCACCUGCAUCCCUGGGCAGCCCCUGCUCCAGGAGUGAUGAAGUGUGUGGCCGCACCUCUGUCCCCACGCAGAAAGCCACGGCCAGGCUCAGCUGUGUCCCCGUCCUGUCCCAGCCCUCAGCAGUCUCAGGGUCCAGCUGGGUCAAUCCAGUGAAAACUCCCCGUGUUCCCCCAGCUCGUUCCCCCACAAACUCUGGUCACGGAGCCCUGCCAGUGCCUUGGGUCCUCCACGGGCUGGGCUGGGUGAUCCCUCCACCUCCCAGCCACAGGCAGAACAGGGCACCUGAGACAACCCAAAUUUGGGAAACAAUUGGUGAUUCUGAGGGACAAAAAUAAACCUUACAGAAAGGGAGUUAUUUACUCCGAGAGUUAGUGUGAAGUCUGUCCCUUCCAGCUCAGGACAGUAUCAGAUUUUUCUUCCUUUCUUUCUCUCUUCCUCUCUUUCUCUAAUUAUCUCUUUAUUUCUUGUUUCUUAUUCUCUCUUCUUCUUUUUUUUUUUUUUUUCCUUUUUUCCCCCUCCCAAAACCUAUCUAUAUAACAGUAAAUGCCUCCCAGUCAGGGUGUGCAGCCCCCAGCUCCAGAGCAGGAGAUCCCCCAACCCAGAGCCAGGGACAGAUGUCCCUUUGGCUCACCCAACCUUCUUUCCUCUGGCAGUACCUGAGCUUGUGCCCAGGAACCAGACACGGAAUCAUUUUAUUCUGCACCACCGUAGCACAUGACAUAGUGCUAGCCCUGCCCUGGACCCCCAGACCAGGGGGACAGCAAGAUUCUGGCUUGGGGACAGGACACCCACAGUCUCCCUGUCCCCUCUGCCUGUCCAGCAAAGCUCAUCUGGUCCCUGCCUGGAAAGAGAGAGAAACUUUCACGGGAUGUUGCAGGCAAGCAGCAGCCCCUGCCCGCACUCGAAAGUUUUGCAAACGUUCAACUUGUACUAAUUUUGUAUGGCUGUAUUCACAGUUGUUCUCUGUAAAAAAUGGACCUGUGUUAGUUUAUUAAUAACCUAAACAUUACGCAUUAAAGACCUAUGAGUGACACAAGAUGACAAAAAGCUGUAUUUUUCCAAUAUACACAAGCACACAUUUAAUAACCUUCUAUUGCAUCUCAGCUAGGCCUUCUCUCUGAUGGUUCCCAUGGCAACUGAGAUAAAAAAGCAGCCAUUUUCCAUAUCUCUAUGAAAGUCUAUUAUAUUGCAGGAUUAGUUCAUCUUCUGCUAAGGUCAAACACAAAGUCAUACAACCUGAAAUAUUUAGAAUCCAUGUACAUUCAUUUUUUUA